rnacentral:rRNA from 1 species
AGAAUCAACGCUGGCGGCGUGCCUAACACAUGCAAGUCGAACGAGAAAGUGGAGCAAUCCAUGAGUAAAGUGGCGCACGGGUGAGUAACACGUGACUAACCUACCCUUGAGUGGGGGAUAAACCUAGGGAAACCUGGGCUAAUACCGCAUAAUACCUUCGGGUCAAAGGAGCAAUUCGCUUAAGGAGGGGUCGCGGCCGAUUAGUUAGUUGGCGGGGUAAUGGCCCACCAAGACUGUGAUCGGUA